rnacentral:lncRNA from 1 species
GAUUCUGUAAUCCCAGUGAGCCACCGCGCCUGGCCCAUAUGCUUCAGGUGACUACAGCCAGCUCCAGAGGUUCCAAAGAUCUUAAAGAUGUCCCAGAAAAGUUCUAGAGUACUAUCAGAUCUCACACUUUGCCUUGGAAGCUGUCAUUCCCCUCCAUUGGCCCCACAACUGCAGUAUAAUCUUCAGUGACAGGAGAAAAUCGACCUUGUUUGUACAGAAGUCUCAGCAGGAAUAGGCAGAUGCCUGUUUUUGCUGCCAAGGAUGGAGGAUUGGAAUGGGCCCAUUAUAUAUUUUGAGGCUUUGAAGAAAAGUCUCAGGAUAUGUUUUCCCAUUAAAAUACUGUUAUAAACAAUUAGA